rnacentral:snRNA from 1 species
AUCGCUUCUCAGCCUUAUGGCUAAGAUCAAGUGUAGUAUCUGUUCUUAUCAGUUUAAGAUCUGAUCCGUCCUCUAUCCGAGGAUAAUGUAUUAAAUGGAUUUUGGGACAGGGAGAUGGAAUAGGAGCUUGGUCCGUCCACUCCACACAUGGACCUGGUAUUGCAGUACACCAAAAAAAAAAAA